rnacentral:rRNA from 1 species
GUAUGGAGCUUGCUCCAUACAGUCGAGCGGCGAACGGGUGAGUAACGCGUGGAUAUCUACCCUGAGGUGGGGGAUAACCCGAGGAAACUCGGGCUAAUACCGCAUAACACCGUGAGGUCAAAGAGGGCUUCGGCUCUCGCCAUGGGAUGAGUCUGCGUCCGAUUAGCUAGUUGGUGAGGUAAAGGCUCACCAAGGCUGCGAUCGGUAGCCGGCCUGAGAGGGUGAUCGGCCACACUGGAACUGAGACACGGUCCAGACUCCUACGGGAGGCAGCAGUGGGGAAUUUUGCGCAAUGGGCGAAAGCCUGACGCAGCAACGCCGCGUGGAGGAUGAAGGUUUUCGGAUUGUAAACUCCUGUCAGUGGGGAAAAAGGCUUGCGACCUAAUACGUCGAGGAGCUUGAUUGUACCCGCAGAGGAAGCCCCGGCUAACUCUGUGCCAGCAGCCGCGGUAAUACAGAGGGGGCGAGCGUUAUUCGGAAUUAUUGGGCGUAAAGGGCGCGUAGGCGGCUGAUCAAGUGGAAGGUGAAAUCCCUCGGCUCAACCGAGGAACUGCCUUCCAAACUGACUGGCUUGAGUCCGGGAGAGGUGAGUGGAAUUCCCAGUGUAGCGGUGAAAUGCGUAGAUAUUGGGAGGAACACCGGUGGCGAAGGCGGCUCACUGGACCGGAACUGACGCUGAGGCGCGAAAGCGUGGGGAGCAAACGGGAUUAGAUACCCCGG